rnacentral:rRNA from 1 species
UACGUAGGGGGCAAGCGUUGUCCGGAUUUACUGGGCGUAAAGAGCGUGUAGGCGGCCACGCAGGUCCGUUGUGAAAACUGGAGGCUCAACCUUCAGACGUCGACGGAAACCGUGUGGCUAGAGUCCGGAAGAGGAGAGUGGAAUUCCUGGUGUAGCGGUGAAAUGCGCGGAUAUCAGGAAGAACACCAAUGGCGAAGGCAGCUCUCUGGGACGGUACUGACGCUGAGACGCGAAAGCGUGGGGAGCGAACAGG